CGGUAGUUCAGACAGUCAAUGGACUAGUAGUAGAGAGAGGUCCCUUCGAGGUCCUAUAUAUAUUCUCUAUCCCUCUUUCAGAGCACUUUCAGAUCAAAAGCGUUUGAACUUUGAACCCCUUUUGGGUUUGUUUUCAAAACAGAUCAAUCGGAGACCCACAAAAAUGCAAACCAAAAGAAAACUAAGAUCAUCAUCAUCGAAGAUGGUGAUUUUCUUCCUAUUGGUAUUUUCUACUGCAUUCCAAGGAUGUUUCUCGGACUCCAAUCAGCCCCAGAACAACAAGAAGCAGUCAACAGCAAGAAAUCGAUUUGGGUCCUCGGUCGUCUUCCCUGUCACUGGAAAUGUCUAUCCUAAGGGGUACUAUCAGGUGACCCUUAAUGUAGGCCGCCCACCCAAACCUUACUUUCUUGACAUAGACAGUGGCAGUGACCUCACUUGGCUUCAAUGUGAUGCACCUUGUACCAAAUGCACUCCGGCCCCUCACCCUCUUUACAAGCCCAACAAAAACAUUGUCACGUGUAAGGAUCCCCUAUGUACCGCCCUUCCAAACAUUCCAUGCAAGACACCGGAUGAGCAAUGCGACUAUGACGUCGAGUAUGCUGAUCUUGGUUCAUCUAUGGGCGUGCUGCUUAAAGACUAUUUUCCGCUAAGAUUCACCAAUGGUAGUAUCUUUGGACCCAAUAUAGUAUUCGGUUGCGGGUACCAUCAGGAAGUUCCCGAUUCUGUGGAUCCUCCUUACACAGAUGGAGUCCUUGGUCUUAGCAAUGGCAAAUUGAGCUUUGUUUCGCAACUGCAUGACCUGGGUCUUAUACGAAAUGUGAUGGGUCACUGUUUAAGUGGGAAAGGGGGAGGGUAUCUCUUUUUCGGAGAUGAUCUGAUCCCUUCUUCCGAAGUUGUCUGGACACCAAUGUUGCAACGUUCUUCAGAGAAACAUUACUCGUUGGGAUCGGCAGAACUCCUUUAUGGCAGGCAGGCUACAGGUGUUAAGGGUGUACCAAUCCUUUUUGACAGUGGGAGUACCUAUAGUUACUUCAAUGCCCAAUCUUACAAAGCUACACUUUCUAUGAUAAAGAAACAAUUGAACGCAAAGCAAUUAAAAGAUGCAGUCGAUGAUCGAAACCUUCCAGUCUGCUGGAAAGGUGCAAAACCGUUCAAAUCUAUUCAUGAUGUCAAGGACUACUUCAAGCCCAUAGUAGUGAGCUUUUCAAAUCGCAAGAAUGUCCAACUGACAUUGCCUCCUGAAGCCUAUCUAAUUGUCACAGACCGUGGCAGUGUGUGCUUGGGUAUAUUGAAUGGGUCUGAAGUAGGACUGGGAAAAUUCAACAUUAUUGGUGACAUAUCUAUGCAAGACAAAAUGGUGAUCUAUGACAACGAGAAACAACAGAUUGGAUGGGUUCCUGCAAACUGCGACAGGCUUCCCAUGUCCUGAACCAUUUUCUUGUAAUUUCUUCCUUACACAUUACUGGGCUGAGGGCAUUCUCACCAGCCAAUUUUGGUAUCUUAGAAGAGCAUUAUCCUCGAGCUUAUAGUUGGAAGGAAGAAUUAUAAGGUGGUCAGGCGAAUAAAACCGAGUGAAAACAUAGAAGACAGAGAGUAGCUUACACACACCAGAUCUGUAUAACAGGUUUACAAGAGUUCUUUAUCCAUUGUCCUGUAACCUACAUUGUAGAAAAUGGUUAUAUUCCAGUUGCAAUGAAGGUAAAUGUAGAUUUUGUUAGAGAAGAUUUCGAUUUACGACACGAAUUUAGUUUCAAGAAA